rnacentral:rRNA from 1 species
GAUGAACGCUAGCGGCAGGCCUAACACAUGCAAGUCGAGGGGUAACAUAGAAAAGCUUGCUUUUCUGAUGACGACCGGCGCACGGGUGCGUAACGCGUAUACAACCUACCUUUUAGCGGGGAAUAGCCCAGGGAAACUUGGAUUAAUGCCCCAUAGUAUAUAGACUUCUCCUGAAGUUUAUAUUAAACAUUUAUGGCUAUUAGAUGGGUAUGCGUCCUAUUAGUUAGUUGGUAAGGUAACGGCUUACCAAGGCAGCGAUAGGUAGGGGUCCUGAGAGGGAGAUCCCCACACUGGUACUGAGACACGGACUAGACUCCUACGGGAGGCAGCAGUGAGGAAUAUUGGACAAUGGGCAAGAGCCUGAUCCAGCCAUGCCGCGUGCAGGAAGACUGCCCUAUGGGUUGUAAACUGCUUUUACAGAGGAAGAACCACCCCCACGUGUGGGGGUUUGACGGUACUCUGCGAAUAAGGAUCGGCUAACUCCGUG